UACGGAGGGUGCAACGUUGCUCGGAAUCAUUGGGCGUAAAGCGCACGUAGGCGGCUCGUUAAGUUGGAUGUUGAAGCCCUGGGCUCAACCCAGGAAGUGCAUUCAAACUGGCGAGCUUGAAGUAUGGAAGAGGGUCGCGGAAGUUCCCGGUGUAGAGGUGAAAUUCGUAGAUAUCGGGAGGAAGCACCGGAUGGCGAAGGCGGGUCUCUGGGCCGAUACUGACGCUGAGGAGCGAAAGCGUGGGGAGCGAACAGGAUU
rnacentral:rRNA from 1 species